rnacentral:rRNA from 1 species
GAUGAACGCUGGCGGCGUGCUUAACACAUGCAAGUCGAACGGAAAGGCCCAAGCUUGCUUGGUUACUCGAGUGGCGAACGGGUGAGUAACACGUGGGUGAUCUGCCCUGCACUUCGGGAUAAGCCUGGGAAACUGGGUCUAAUACCGGAUAGGACCACAUUUUGGAUGGUGUGGUGGAAAGUUUUUCGGUGUGGGAUGAGCUCGCGGCCUAUCAGCUUGUUGGUGGGGUAAUGGCAUACCAAGGCGUCGACGGGGAGCCGGCCUGAGAGGGUGUACGGCCACAUUGGGACUGAGAGACGGCCCAGACUCGUACGGGAGGCAGCAGGGGGGAAUAUUGGACAAUGGGCGGAAGCCUGAUGCAGCGACGUCGCGUGGGGGAUGACGGCUUUCGGGUGGUAAACUCCUUUGGCUAGGGAAGAAGCGUUUUUGUGACGGUACCUGGAGAAGAAGCAACGGCUAACUACGUG